rnacentral:lncRNA from 1 species
CCAAUGAAAUGGAAGCUCGCGCAAGUCACUUUUGCGCUUCGUGUAUGAUCGUCUGUGUAUUUCAUGUAAUAGAACCCCUGAAUUUGCAGAAGUAAAGAAAAUGUCGGAUUUUCCCGAUUUUUUUUUUAGUUUUGCGCCCCGUGUAUGAUUGUAGGCGCAGGUAAUUUCAUAAUGUCAUCAGACUGAGGUAAACAAAAAUGUCGGAUUCCAGCGACAAGGAUUAAAUAAUUAUUCUAAUGACGGUAAGAAUUGGUUUUUUUUUUUUUUUUUAAAUGUAUAUAUCAUACAAAUUAUUAAUCAUAUUUUACAGAAUUUUCAUCUAAUUGAAAAAUGCUUUUCUUCCGUUAUUUUAUUAGAUUAUUUAUUAAAACACAAUUUUAAUGAUAAAAUAAAAUUUAACAGUGGCGGAUCCAGGGGCGUAGAUAGUGUACGUCCCCUAAUCAUGUUUUUUCACAGAUAUUUGUAGCCGAUAUUUAUUCCUUUUUGUAUAGGUACCCCCCAUUUUAAAUCGAAAUUUAAUUGAAUUUUCGCAAAGGAAAUGAUAGUUUUACAUUUUAUUUUUUUCAAAACUGAAAGAAGAAACAUUUAGUAAUUGUUUCCAAAAUUAAGGGAAUUCGUAACUAUCC